rnacentral:rRNA from 1 species
CGACGUAGGUAACCUGCCUGGUAGCGGGGGGUAACUAUUGAAACGAUAGCUAAUACCGCAUAAGAGUAGAUGUUGCAUGACAUUUACUUAAAAGGUGCAAUUGCAUCACUACCAGAUGGACCUGCGUUGUAUUAGCUAGUUGGUGGGGUAACGGCUCACCAAGGCGACGAUACAUAGCCGACCUGAGAGGGUGAUCGGCCACACUGGGACUGAGACACGGCCCAG